rnacentral:lncRNA from 13 species
CUACAAGCGGGCGAGCUCUAUUUAUGGACAGCAACAUCCGUAAAACGCUUUCUCAGAAACUUCCUGAUUGGCCCUUUCAGUAGCCAAUCACAUUCGAGAGAGACGUGUAGCGCAGCAAGAGCAUCUUCCAACAUGGCGUCUGUAUCCUCGGGAUUCCCUUUCAACCUGCCGGUUGCAUCUCUGUUACUGAUCCUGCUGCUAUGCCUGCAUUCGGGGGGAGGCCAGAAGAAGAAAGAGGAAACUUUCCCUGCUGUAGCAAACUGGCCCAAAUGAAGAUCCUA